rnacentral:rRNA from 1 species
CCUACGGGAGGCAGCAGUGGGGAAUAUUGCACAAUGGGCGAAAGCCUGAUGCAGCAACGCCGCGUGAGGGAUGAAGGCCUUCGGGUCGUAAACCUCUGUCCUUGGGGAAGAAACAAAUGACGGUACCCAUGGAGGAAGCCCCGGCUAACUACGUGCCAGCAGCCGCGGUAAUACGUAGGGGGCGAGCGUUAUCCGGAAUUAUUGGGCGUAAAGAGUGCGUAGGUGGUUACCUAAGCGCAGGGUCUAAGGCAAUGGCUCAACCAUUGUUCGCCCUGCGAACUGGGCUACUUGAGUGCAGGAGAGGAAAGCGGAAUUCCUAGUGUAGCGGUGAAAUGCGUAGAUAUUAGGAGGAACACCAGUGGCGAAGGCGGCUUUCUGGACUGUUACUGACACUGAGGCACGAAAGCGUGGGGAGCAAACAGGAUUAGAUACCCUGGUAGUCC